AAGGAACCCAAGGAAAUGUUAAGAUCUGAGGCACACCCAGUCCAAUGUUCAUGAAAAGGAAGACUCGUGGUAACCUAGUCAAUGAAUAAGUUGAGAAGUGGGAACCAGGCAUGCUGAUCAAAGUGAGAGACUUUGCAAUAGCUGAAAAGGAAGAAAAGAAGGAGUGUGCCCCUGCCAAAGGACAGGCCUCACUCCUAGCUGCAGCUAUAACCUCUGCUGCCAGCAGACCUCCGGGCGGCUGUAGUUCUGUCAACUGCUUCAGCUGUGUGCGAUCUGGGAAGAAUGGGGACAGUUAACUUCCAAGAAUUCCCCUGUCAAACAUGGAUGAGAAAUCAU